UUUUUCCAUUUUCUCCCCAAAGCCCCCUGGUACAUAGUUGUAUAUUUUUAGUUGUGGGUCCUUCUAGUUGUGGCAUGUGGGACGCUGCGUUAGCGUGGCAUGACGAGCGGUGCCAUGUCAGUGCCUAGGAUCCGAACCAGUGAAAGCCUGGGCUGCCCAAGCAGAGCACUCGAACUUAGCCACUCGGCCACGCGGCCGGCCCCAGCAACACACUUUUUUUUUUUUCAGGAAAUUAGCAAUCUGGUUCUAAAAUUUAUAUGGAAAUGCAAAGGGUCAAGAACAGCCAAGGCAGUUAAAGGAAAAAGAAGAAAGUCAGAGGACUUUUAUGCUAUUGGAUAUCAUGACCUAUUAUAAAGCUAAAUAAAUAGAAUACUGUAAUAUGGCACAGACAGCGACAAAUAGAUGAAUGGAACGCAAUAAAGAGUCCAGACACAAGGCUGCACAACUGAUUUAUGACACGUAACUUAUGACAAAGGUGUCACUGCAAAGCGAUGGAGAAAGGUUGGAGUUUUCCAUAAAUAGUGCUGGGUCAGUUGGUACCCAUCCAUCCGGGGAAAAAAGGGAAUGUUGACCCCUACCUCAUGUCACACACAAAAAGUCAAUUCCAGAUAGAUGUUUGACGUAAACGUGAAAGAUAAAAAAAUAAAGCUUCUGGAAGAUAACACUGGAAAAUAUAUUUGUGACAUGACAGGACCCCUCCCCCAAAAUAACAAGAGCCAACCAGCCUAAGGUGACCAACCUGUCUGGAGUCCCUGGGACUCUCCUUGUUUUAGCAUUGACAGCCCAUGUCCUAGGAAAUCCUUUAGGAAACUGGGAUUAUUGGUCACCCUAACUUACCCAUAAAGGAAAAGAUUACAAAGUGGACUACACUAAAACUAAGAACUUCUGUCCAUCAAAAGACGUUAUUGAGAGAGUGAAAAGGCAAACCACAGGAUGGGAGGAGAUAUUUACAAUACAUCUAGCCAACAAAAGUUUCACAGAUAAUGCACUCCUACGAAUCAAUAAGACAAUGCAAUAGUAAAAUGAGUGACAGUCCUGAAAAGGCAUUUCAAAAAAUAACCAACAAACAUAUUAAAAGUUACUCAACCUUGUCAGGAGGGAGAUGCAAAUUAAAACUACAAUGAGAAGCUAUUAUAUGCUCUCUAGGAGCCCAAACACUGAUCUGUCAGACUAUAAGGAGGAUCCAGAUGGACCAGAAUAGAUAGGAUCAAGAUUCUCCUUUACUCACAUUAAGGAGGAGUUCCCAAAGAGUUAACAAUAGAAUCAUUUUAUAGUAAUCAUAGAACAUUAUUUUUGAUCAGUUUAUACAAGUAUGCAUAAUUGUUUAGAAAAUUAUACAGAGUUUCUGCCACAAUGAGAGUUUGAUUAUUCUCACUUAAUCCAUUUGGCUGUCUUCCUCAAGUCCUGAAACAAAACUCAACGUAGGGGUUUUUAGAGAGAGAUCCCUGCACACGAUGGGUUCUCCAACUCUACGGGGUCAGGAUUCUUGUGCCUGCAGUGACCACACUGAGCGUGCAGUUCCCCUCGCAGAAUGACGUCCAAGCAAGCUCUGUUCCUGCGUGGCACACACUCCUGACCUAGCACGGAGUCCGGUCUGGUGGAGACAGAAUGGGGACUGCCAGAGACAGUGGGCAAGGCGGGAGCCCAAGAGCAUGCUCUUUUAGAGAAGGGCGAAAUGCUAUUUUUUAAUAGUGAUUAAAACGUAUUUAGUGAAGUGAUGAAUAGUGAAAUAGUGAAGAAUGAAUUGAGAAUCCAAUUGGUGAAAGAGAUAAUAAUGGGAGAGGGGUCAUGGUCAGAUUUUACCAAAUGACUGCCCUCAGCCUGGCAUGCUGCUGUGUGGGUUAAAGAAACGUGGCAGUUCCCAGGAAAGGGCGAAAGGGAAGAAGGGAGCUGAGUUUCUGAGAAAGAUUUGGCUUCAGGGAAAGCUUCCAUGAUUAAAAAACAAAAACAAAAACAUUACUUUAUAAUUUUUUUUUUUUAAGAAUUUCAAACACACACUAUGGGGUAUGAUACUCUAGCCAAAUUCCAGGUCCAGCUUCCAGGCAAGUGUGUCUGUUGAACCCACGAGCUGGCAGCUCCAGGAAUCUGUUUGUAUUCGUGACUACGCAUGUUAGGGAGAGGCAUUUGAGAAGGUCUGGGGUAGAUACCUCAAAAGAGAAAGGAAAGGGAGUUAAGAACGGUGGCUAUUCCCCAGCCAGACCUUAAGGUACUAGGUGGCACUUGGGACACAAGCAGAGAUGCUUCUGGGCCAGGUGACAGAUUUCAACAGAGUGUGGAGUGAGAUGCCCUCUCUCUAUGUCAGCUGAACACCCAGCAUGGCGAGAUCACAGGGGUCCAGAAGCUGGUGCGCUCAGGGGCUUGUGACUGUGACAGCCCUAGGAGGCCACGUUCUUCUGGCUGGCAGGGUGGUUCCGUACAGAGAAGAACAUGACAGGACAACUUCGAAUGGGGUGUGUUGCUGCCCUGCAGUGAUGGGGCUUGGUGCUGUGAAUAGGAAGUCUGGAAUUACGGAUGAGAAUUUGACCUCCUUUGUACCCAUAGGCCAGUAGGUUCUUGAGAUAUCUGGAGUGUAUGAUGCCAUCAUGGUUUACAUGGCUUAUUUUUUUUUUUUAACAGAAAAAAGAGGAUUCAAUUAUAAUAAAUAAGAAGAUCCUUACUUAUUUCACAUUGUUAGGAAAUGUGAUAUUCCAAGUAAGUCGAUUCUCCAAAUGAUUGAAACAGUCCUUUAAAUUGAUAACAUUUUAAUCUCUCUGAUGGAAAGCCUGCCAAAAUACACUGUGCACUUUGCUUCUUUCUUAAACAGAGAAAGAACAUGAAUGUAACCAUUCUUUGGUGUCCCCAAGUCAUCAUGAGCACUGACCACCUUUUGUACCAUAGUAUGAUGAGGCCCUCAGGAUCUCCUGACAUAGGUACGGCUGAACUCUCCGGAAAUAUUCUGGCUAGACUGCCAUGGUUUCUGAAUUUUUGUAUCCACUUUUGGUAGAUUUCCUCUCUUUCACCGUACUAGGCUGUCAAUAGACGCUUCUUGCUUCUCUCAGGGAGACAGAUUCUAGGAAUCUACUUUACCCCCAUUAUCCUUUUAAUUUGAUAUGUAGUCUGUUUUGGAUUUAGAAGUCACAUGACUCAUGAAUAUUCCGCCUAAAAAAAAGCGAAAAAAAAAAAGGGAGCUCUAACUUUUGAUAGAGGGUCAGAAAGUUUUGCCUAGGAAUGAAGUACAAGUCUUUAAAAUAGCUAUUUUGUCUAUCUGGAGACAUUUUAAAUUAACUUUCGGUUUUGGCUGUGUUCCUCCAAAUUGAAGUUACUGGAUGAGGGACGUCGAAAGAAGCGGUUUUUAGUGUACAUAUAAUUGAGGUCCUGGGGCAAGGGGAAGAGAUGAUCACAGCCCUCCAUCUCACCCCGAUCAACAUCAUCCUAUUCAUUUUAUGGAAAUUGUAGUUAAUAUUCUGAAUUAAUUAGAUUGUACAAUCAGUUUCAAAAGCAUAAUGCAGUGGUGAUAAAAUUUAAUAGUGCAUAAAACUUAUGGAAAUUUAAAAUUUUAGGACCUAGAUGAAAUUCAGACAUGAAUUUUGUAUGAAGAAAUGAAACAAAAUAGUUUUAUUAGAGUCAUUUGCUUUAUUAUGAGAGCAUCCACAGUAUCAUUUAAACUCUAUAGCAUUCAUCACAUGCAGUGCUUCCCAGCAAACUAAUUUAAGAUAGACUCCUUAAGAUAAAUAUCAAGAGGGUCUAUCACCGUCCUGCCUCUGCCUGUUUUCCUCUUGAAGAUCAGCAGGCUUAGUAAAAACAGAUUUCCUAAAAUAAGCAUUAUCAUAUACAGAGAAGACUGGAAAUCAUAAAUGAUGUGAGCAACGUCCCUUGAUUAUGACAGGAAGCCUGCAUAUGUAAUCUUUGUAGCGAAUAAACAUCUUCAAUUUCUAGUAUUAUAUCAUCCAAUUCCAGGAAAACAUUAUCAUAAUAUGAAAUAGAUGAGAAAGAAAUAGCAAUCAGAACUAUCCGGCAAUGAGGAAUACUAAGUUUUCUCUCUCCUGAAUUGAGGCAUCCUGGCUUAGUGAGAAAAGCUGGUGAAGGAUGGUCCUGGGUUCAAAUCUCAGUGCCUGUGUGACUUUGGGCAAGUUACUAAAUUUCUCUGAACCUCAGUCCCUCUGACCAUCAUAUAGUGAGAACGAUCCUUCCUUCCCAAGGAUGGCAUAGUAUUUAAAUGAGAUAAUGUACAUUUAGCACCUUCCUCCACCCUCCCUCCCCUCUAUUUGGAAACUGUCGUCCUAUACUCAGUGUGCUGGGCAUCACCUCCAACCCUGUCACCCCUCUUGAAUGUCUUAUCUUUAAGGGACUCCUAGCCACACAACCAGAAAGCUAAUGGUUAUCCAUGACUCCUUCUUCUUCCUCCCGCUGGCUCUGAAUUUGCGUCUGAGUUAGGAGUCAGAUGUAUCUACUUCGAGAUCCCUGAUCUACGGCACUUCAUAGUAUGUACUUAGCCCACAAUGGUGAAUGCUCAAUAUCCUAAAAUUUUCCUGCGGCAGGAAUUAUAGUAGUUUUUACCUAUGGAAAUGAUAUGUAUGGAACUGAAGUGAAAUAAAUGAGCAAUAGCUCAAUAAGUCCCACUUUGCUUUCUCCCUGUUUCUGCUUGUGCUCAAGAGGCUGACUCGUGUGGCUGUUGUGUCACUGGCUCUUGCCCUGCCAACUCACGCAGGACUAGCCCUGUGGGUAUUUCUGGUGGGAACUUGUGGGUAUAUCCCAUGAUCCUGUCACCACCUGCAAUAACAGAGAGCACUGAGAAAGCACUGCCAUCCCCAUUUCACAGAGGAGAGUCCAAAGCACGAGGCUUUCAAGUCCCUUGCCUGGUGUUAAACAGUGAGAGGCAGAAUGGGAUCGAUCUCAAAUCUAGCUAAUGCCAGAACUCACACCUAACUGUCAUACUCUAUUCCCUCCUCAAAUACAUUUAAUCAGUUACCC
ensembl:lncRNA